rnacentral:rRNA from 1 species
CGAACUCCUAUUCACUUAUAAACACAAAGUCUAUGAAUGUAUUUAAUUUUAUAACAAAAUAAAACUUUCAACAACGGAUCUCUUGGCUCUCGCAUCGAUGAAGAACGCAGCGAAAUGCGAUAAGUAAUGUGAAUUGCAGAAUUCAGUGAAUCAUCGAAUCUUUGAACGCACCUUGCGCUCCAUGGUAUUCCGUGGAGCAUGCCUGUUUGAGUGUCAUGAAUACUUCAACCCUCCUCUUUCUUAAUGAUUGAAGAGGUGUUUGGAUUCUGAGCGCUGCUGGCCUUACGGUCUAGCUCCUUCGUAAUGCAUUAGCAUCCGCAAUCGAACUUCGGAUUGACUUGGCGUAAUAGACUAUUCGCUGAGGAAUUCUAAUCUUCGGAUUAGAGCCGGGUUAGGUUAAAGGAAGCUUCUAAUCAGAAUGUCUACAUUUUAAGAUUAG